rnacentral:rRNA from 1 species
GUAGUCAUAUGCUUGUCUCAAAGAUUAAGCCAUGCAUGUCUCAGUGCAAGCCACAUUAAGGUGAAACCGCGAAUGGCUCAUUAAAUCAGUUAUGGUUCCUUAGAUGGUGGACAGUUACUUGGAUAACUGUGGUAAUUCUAGAGCUAAUACAUGCAACUGAGUCCUGACCGGCGACGGAAGGGACGCUUUUAUUAGAUCAAAACCAAUCGGUCGCUCACGCGGCCGUUUGCCUUGGUGACUCUGAAUAAAUUGAGGCGGAUCGCACGGUCUCCGAACCGGCGACGCAUCUUUCAAAUGUCU